rnacentral:rRNA from 1 species
AUGAACGCUGGCGGCGUGCCUAAUACAUGCAAGUCGAGCGAACGGACGAGAAGCUUGCUUCUCUGAUGUUAGCGGCGGACGGGUGAGUAACACGUGGAUAACCUACCUAUAAGACUGGGAUAACUUCGGGAAACCGGAGCUAAUACCGGAUAAUAUUUUGAACCGCAUGGUUCAAAAGUGAAAGACGGUCUUGCUGUCACUUAUAGAUGGAUCCGCGCUGCAUUAGCUAGUUGGUAAGGUAACGGCUUACCAAGGCAACGAUGCAUAGCCGACCUGAGAGGGUGAUCGGCCACACUGGAACUGAGACACGGUCCAGACUCCUACGGGAGGCAGCAGUAGGGAAUCUUCCGCAAUGGGCGAAAGCCUGACGGAGCAACGCCGCGUGAGUGAUGAAGGUCCUCGGAUCGUAAAACUCUGUUAUUAGGGAAGAACAUAUGUGUAAGUAACUGUGCACAUCUUGGACGGUACCUAAUCAGAAAGCCACGGAUAACUACGUGCCAGCAGCCGCGGUAAUACGUAGGUGGCAGGCGUUAUCGGGAAUUAUUGGGCGUAAAGCGCGCGUAGGCGGUUUGGAAGUCUGAUG